CGAACGCGUGAGAAUCUAGCUUUAGGUCGGGGACAACCACUGGAAACGGUGGCUAAUACCGGAUGUGCCGGAAGGUGAAAGAUUAAUUGCCUAGAGAUGAGCUCGCGUCUGAUUAGCUAGUAGGUGUGGUAAGAGCGCACCUAGGCGACGAUCAGUAGCUGGUCUGAGAGGAUGAUCAGCCACACUGGGACUGAGACACGGCCCAGACUCCUACGGGAGGCAGCAGUGGGGAAUUUUCCGCAAUGGGCGAAAGCCUGACGGAGCAAUACCGCGUGAGGGAGGAAGGCUCUUGGGUUGUAAACCUCUUUUCUCAGGGAAGAAAAAAAUGACGGUACCUGAGGAAUAAGCAUCGGCUAACUCCGUGCCAGCAGCCGCGGUAAUACGGAGGAUGCAAGCGUUAUCCGGAAUGAUUGGGCGUAAAGCGUCCGCAGGUGGCUAUGUAAGUCUGCUGUUAAAGAGUGAGGCUCAACCUCAUAAGAGCAGUGGAAACUACAUAGCUAGAGUGCGUUCGGGGCAGAGGGAAUUCCUGGUGUAGCGGUGAAAUGCGUAGAGAUCAGGAAGAAC
rnacentral:rRNA from 1 species